UGGGGAGCAUAAAAGUAGGUAGAAUGCUCCUGAGGUUAAACGCACAGUUUCAACUGCUGGGCAGGGGGAAGGAAGAGAAUUCCUUAUUGAGUGGUCAGGUCCAAGGAAUCAAAUUCAGUGCCUCUCAUAUGCCAGGGAACCCAGCUCCCCUGCUAUGGGCUGUACUGUGGAGAGGGCCACAUGUCAAGGAAAUGAAGCCUGUGAGAGUCUGAAUCCUGCCAACAAUUACAGGAGUGCUUUCAUGAAGAUAUCCUCCCUGGUGGAACCUUUGGGUAAGAAUGAACCCCCAUGACACCUUUAAGCAAACACCUCCAACUUUAGCCACUCCAGGAUUUCUAACACACACAGAGAAACUUACAACAAAACAAAAACAAACCUAUAAAACUUAGUCAAAAACAAAACAAAGCAACACCAGAGACCCAAAUCUUCUUUUGGAGUAGUUUUACUUGUGAAAGAUUCUGUGAAUCUGGACUGACUUGGACCCAAUUUCUAUAAGUUUCAAACUCACUCAGGUAUGUAAUCACCCCCCAAAAGCCCUCUUUUAUUACAGAGUUUAACUUCAGGAUUUUUUUUUCAGGGUCAUUAAAUGGAAUUUCUAUGACAACCCAAGAGCUGGUGUAAGAAUGAGACAGUGUUGUACAGUAUAAUGAGUCCAACUAUAUUUUACCUCUUACUCUUGGUUCUGAAGAAACGGGUGAUAAAUCUAGGGCGCCGUUCAGCACUCUUCAGGAAAUAGUACACUAAUGGCCGAAAGUCCAAUGAAUCUCCCUGUUUUACUCAGGGCACUUUGUGGCCAACUAUAGAAACCAACUCUCUCUGGAAAUAGAAACCGACUUGGAAAGGGAUUUUACUGGAAGGAUGUUGGGAAAUUCACAGUAUUUCCAGAAAAGCUGGAGAACAUGAUGCAGAGAAUGAGCAGGCACCGUGGGUGGUGAUGCAUGGUGACCUCAGCCAACUUUCAUUUGGGGCAAUCUGGCAAACAUGUUGCUUUUGUCACCGAGUGAUGGAGGCCAGCAUGUGUUCUGGAUGCUGCCGCGGUAUGAUGCUAGUCACCACUUCUGGUCCCACUGCCCAGCUAAGGGAAAACAAUUACCACCACUGAAACUGUGGUUCUGCUCUAACACAGCGUCUUUGCUCUCCUGUUUCCGCCAUCAUUGGCAUCAGUAGCUGACAUCCUGAAUUGUAAAUCACAUUAAAUUUUAGAGCGCUAGAAAAGUGGAUCGGACAGGGUAUCAUGUGUUCCAAAUUUAUUUCCAUGUCUCCGAGUGUUUUAUUUAAAGUAAGGGAUGGUAUAAAAAGCAAGGAAACAAAUUGGAAAGAAGUCGUGGAAAGAGCCGUUUAAUGGAAUACGUAAAGGGACUCAUCAAAGACUGUCUGAGUGUCUGGCACGUGACACGAUCACAGGGAAAAGAUACGUCUUGCCUCUAACAUGUAUGUUGGGAAAGUUAGCCUCUUAGUGUGGUGCCAAUUCAGAAAGAAGAAAUAAACAAGAGCGUUGUAUUUCUCCUCCACCCUGUCUCAGGCAAUUUACCCAGAUGAGUCUUUGUAUAUCGUACGGUGGAAGAGCAUCCAGGUCUGUUAAAGCGUACAAUGAAGUAGUUUGGAAGCUAUGCUCACCUAUACUAAUCCCUUUGUUUGG